rnacentral:rRNA from 1 species
UACGAAGGGGCUAGCGUUGCUCGGAAUCACUGGGCGUAAAGCGCACGUAGGCGGCUUCUUAAGUCAGGGGUGAAAUCCUGGAGCUCAACUCCAGAACUGCCUUUGAUACUGAGGAGCUUGAGUCCGGGAGAGGUGAGUGGAACUGCGAGUGUAGAGGUGAAAUUCGUAGAUAUUCGCAAGAACACCAGUGGCGAAGGCGGCUCACUGGCCCGGUACUGACGCUGAGGUGCGAAAGCGUGGGGAGCAACAG